AGGAAGGAAAAGGAAGGAUGUAAGAAAGGAAAAAAGAUAGGAAGGUUAUAGUUUUUCCCCAUUAACUACCAUUUUUAUUCGUUUCAGAUGACGAAAAUGUCUUCUCAUUUUCAGUUUUAAUUAUUCCGUUCGUUCUAGCCAACUACAUUAACCUUGGUUGAAACUUUAUUUCGUUGUGACUUUUUGUUUGUCCAACUCAAUUUUAUUUAGUUUUUAGAAAGUGUUUGCUAGUUCUUGUUAGUUUUUAUGGGUUGAAUGUUGUUAAUUUUAACAGGAGAUACAAUUUUCCAAAAAUGUAUUGAACUGUUGUUGAACAACCAACGGACUGGUGUUUUCUUUCAGCUUUUGCUGUCGCCGUUUUGCGGAACAGCGUAAAUGCCUUGCUAACAGCUGACGUAAACUGCUUGUGUGAAGGAAAUAAAAAACAAACAAAAAAUCAAUUUCAGAACAGUUAGAAAGGCUAAUAAAUAGAUUCAUAAGCACAAAAACAAAGGGUAUUAUAUCUAGUUUUAUAAAUGCACGAUAUAGUUGUAGCUAGUUAACCUUGAUAGAAACUGCAGCGCUCAGACAUGAACAGAGGCAGAGCGCAUUAAAACAGCUGGUUCAAGUCAGAGCAGGACGCCAACCUUUAGCGUGUGAAACGGUGUGGGGAGUCAAAGCGAUGUGUAAUCUGAGUGGAGAUUUAACGGUGACAAAGUGUUGACGGAAGCUCUAAACACAACAGCAGAACUUUCCAUCCGUCUUUGCAGGUAUUCUUCUUCACCAUAGUCUUUUCUUCCCAAACAGCAAGUUGGUACACUACCGCCACCAGCUGGUCAGUCUGUGUAACCUUUAAAUCAGCUGAUCUUGGUUCGUCUUCAUCUACCAUCCAGGAUUGCCUCAUAUUUAGAUCCUCCCCUUUACAAUGACAAACAAAAACCAUGCGUUUGCAUAGAUCUGAAAAUGACAUAGCCUUGACAUUUACUGUGGCACACUUUGUGUUUGUGGUGGUCAAGCAUGGUGGGAUGGGUUUGAGAUCCCGGGUUUUCUCAUGGGUAAAUCUUACAACUUUAUUUGUGCUCUGCCCACAAUUUAGUUGGUUUGUUACUUUAAUUAGUUCAUGUCAUUUUCAUUUAAUUGAAUGAUUUUAUAUUUAUAUUUAUGGCAUUAACUUAGCAAACCGUUACCUGUUCCCACAUCAAUGUUCCAAUGUUUGCUGACACAAGAACAAGAAAAUAAAUGUUUGACUAAACAAGCAAAAUUUACUUUCUUAUGUAUAGAUACUGAAAAAAGUUCAAAAGAAAUUAUCAUAUAUGGGA